UUCUCUCUGCUUUAAGCUUCUUUACAGUGUUGCCUUGUGGCAUGGAGUUCAAGCAGCAUUGUACAGGGCUAUCAAAGCACAGAGAGC
ensembl:miRNA Mir107 microRNA 107